ncrna:unclassified sequences DTF805b RNA
AAAGCGAAAGCCGAAAAGCUUUUAGAGUAGGCA